rnacentral:piRNA from 1 species
AUACAUUGCUGACAGAACUAAGGAUU